rnacentral:rRNA from 1 species
AUCCCAACAGCUAGCCCAACUUUAUAAAGCAACAAUCCCCAUUAAUAACCCCAGAAGCAAUAAAAGCUCAAGCCAAACCAUUUUGCCCCCUUAGUACGGGAGACGGAAAAGGGCCCCGGCGCCAUAGAGACAGUACCGCAAGGGAAUGCUGAAAGAGAAUUGAAACAACUCAGUGAAGACCCGAAAAGCAGAGCCUACCUCUCGUACCUUUUGCAUCAUGACUUAGCAAGCACACUCAAGCAAAGAGCCCUUUACGUUUGGCCCCCCGAAACUGGACGAGCUACUCCGAGACAGCCUACGUAGGGCGAACCCGUCUCUGUGGCAAAAGAGUGGGAAGAACUCCGAGUAGAGGUGACAGACCUACCGAGCCCAGUUAUAGCUGGUUGCCUGAGAACUGAAUAGAAGUUCAGCCUUUUGAUUUCUCUCCCCCGCGAGGAGCAAGCUCUUCCCCCCGGCCCAGAGAAUGUUUAGAGAGUUAUUCAAAAGAGGGACAGCUCUUUUGAAUCAAGACACAACUUUUUUAGUUGGGUAAAGACUAAAGAUAACUAGGAACACACCCUGGUGGGCCUAAAAGCAGCCACCCUAACAGAAAGCGUUAAAGCUCAAGUGUAUGUCUCCUGUAAUUUCAGCCACUUCUCCCUAUCCCCCUAACUGUAUCAGGCCAUUCUAUGCCAACAUAGAAGAAAAACUGCUAAUAUGAGUAACAAGGGAGCUCGCCCCUCCCUCCCCGCCAAUGUGUAAUCAGAACAUAGUCUGACUGAAAAUUAACGCCCCCAAGAAGAGGGGACUGGGACACAACCAGGCCAACUAGAUGUGCCCCCAUAAUUAAGCGUUAGCCCCACACUGGAUGGCCAAAGGAAAGACACAAGGGGGAAGAAGGAACUCGGCAAACACCAGCCUCGCCUGUUUACCAAAAACAUCGCCUCUUGCAUAUUAAGUAUAAGAGGUCCCGCCUGCCCUGUGACGAAAGUUUAACGGCCGCGGUAUUUUGACCGUGCGAAGGUAGCGUAAUCACUUGUCUUUUAAAUGAAGACCUGUGUGAAUGGCAUAACGAGGGCUAAGCUGUCUCCUUCCCCCAGUCAGUGAAAUUGAUCUGCCCGUGCAGAAGCGGGCAUAAUUGCAUAAGACGAGAAGACCCUAUGGAGCUUGAGGCGAUUAGGCAGCUUAAGUUAAUGGCCCCCUGCUAAGGGGAAUAAACUAAGUAAUCCCUGCUAAACUGCCUUUGGUUGGGGCGACCACCGGGAAACAAAAAACCCCCGAGCGGAACGGGCAUCAUCCCCUCAGGCUAGAGCCACAACUCCAGCACCCAGAAAUUCUGACCACAAGAUCCGGCAAAGCCGAUCAACGGACCCAGUUACCCUAGGGAUAACAGCGCAAUCCUCUUUUAGAGCCCAUAUCGACAAGGGGGUUUACGACCUCGAUGUUGGAUCAGGACAUCCUACUGGUGCAGCCGCUAUUAAGGGUUCGUUUGUUCAACGAUUAAAGUCCU